CCUACGGGAGGCUGCAGUGGGGAAUAUUGGACAAUGGGCGAAAGCCUGAUCCAGCCAUGCCGCGUGUGUGAAGAAGGCCUUCGGGUUGUAAAGCACUUUCAGUGGGGAAGAAAGCCUUGGGGCUAAUACCCUCGAGGAAGGACAUCACCCACAGAAGAAGCACCGGCUAACUCCGUGCCAGCAGCCGCGGUAAUACGGAGGGUGCGAGCGUUAAUCGGAAUUACUGGGCGUAAAGCGCGCGUAGGCGGUCUGAUAAGCCGGGUGUGAAAGCCCCGGGCUCAACCUGGGAACGGCAUCCGGAACUGUCAGGCUAGAGUGCAGGAGAGGAAGGUAGAAUUCCCGGUGUAGCGGUGAAAUGCGUAGAGAUCGGGAGGAAUACCAGUGGCGAAGGCGGCCUUCUGGACUGACACUGACGCUGAGGUGCGAAAGCGUGGGUAGAAAACAGGAUUAGAUACCCCUGUAGUC
rnacentral:rRNA from 1 species